UACGUAGGUGGCAAGCGUUGUCCGGAAUUAUUGGGCGUAAAGCGCGCGCAGGCGGCCUUUUAAGUCUGAUGUGAAAGCCCACGGCUCAACCGUGGAAGGUCAUUGGAAACUGAAAGGCUUGAGUACAGAAGAGGAAAGCGGAAUUCCACGUGUAGCGGUGAAAUGCGUAGAGAUGUGGAGGGACACCAGUGGCGAAGGCGGCUUUCUGGUCUGUAACUGACGCUGAGGCGCGAAAGCGUGGGGAGCAAACAGG
rnacentral:rRNA from 1 species